rnacentral:ncRNA from 1 species
CAAAAUAGGCUCCAUGCGUCAAGUGUUCAGUGGAUGGGGAGUUGCCACUGAAACGAAAAGUCUGUCUUACGAUAUGGAAGCCGCACCCGUUG